AAUGUGGUGGUAGGCCCACAGAGGCUCCCUAGGAAGACCUUACUCAAGGUCAGAGAAUCUGAGCUUGCUUUACCCAGCAGGGCUACACCAUGGGAUGAUUUGACCACGGGAGUGGUUACCAGGUGUUUUGAAGGGUCUGCACUUGGCUGUACGUGG